rnacentral:rRNA from 1 species
GUGGGGAAUCUUGCGCAAUGGGCGAAAGCCUGACGCAGCCAUGCCGCGUGAAUGAUGAAGGUCUUAGGAUUGUAAAAUUCUUUCACCGGGGACGAUAAUGACGGUACCCGGAGAAGAAGCUCCGGCUAACUUCGUGCCAGCAGCCGCGAUAAUACGAAGGGGGCUAGCGUUGCUCGGAAUUACUGGGCGUAAAGGGCGCGUAGGCGGACAGCUUAGUCAGAGGUGAAAGCCCAGGGCUCAACCUUGGAAUUGCCUUUGAUACUGGCUGUCUUGAGUUUGGGAGAGGUGAGUGGAACUCCGAGUGUAGAGGUGAAAUUCGUAGAUAUUCGGAAGAACACCAGUGGCGAAGGCGACUCACUGGCCCAAUACUGACGCUGAGGCGCGAAAGCGUGGGGAGCAAACAGGAUUAGAAACCCUGGUAGUCC